rnacentral:rRNA from 1 species
AAGCCUGAUGCAGCAACGCCGCGUGAGGGAUGACGGCCUUUCGGGUUGUAAACCUCUUUUAGUAGGGAAGAAGCGAAAGUGACGGUACCUGCAGAAAAAGCACCGGCUAACUACGUGCCAGCAGCCGCGGUAAUACGUAGGGUGCAAGCGUUGUCCGGAAUUAUUGGGCGUAAAGAGCUCGUAGGCGGUUUGUCGCGUCUGCUGUGAAAUCCCGAGGCUCAACCUCGGGCUUGCAGUGGGUACGGGCAGACUAGAGUGCGGUAGGGGAGAUUGGAAUUCCUGGUGUAGCGGUGGAAUGCGCAGAUAUCAGGAGGAACACCGAUGGCGAAGGCAGAUCUCUGGGCCGUAACUGACGCUGAGGAGCGAAAGCAUGGGGAGCGAACAGGAUUAGAUACCCUGGUAGUCCAUGCCGUAAACGUUGGGCGCUAGAUGUAGGGACCUUUCCACGGUUUCUGUGUCGUAGCUAACGCAUUAAGCGCCCCGCCUGGGGAGUACGGCCGCAAGGCUAAAACUCAAAGGAAUUGACGGGGGCCCGCACAAGCGGCGGAGCAUGCGGAUUAAUUCGAUGCAACGCGAAGAACCUUACCAAGGCUUGACAUACACCGGAAACGGCCAGAGAUGGUCGCCCCCUUGUGGUCGGUGUACAGGUGGUGCAUGGUUGUCGUCAGCUCGUGUCGUGAGAUGUUGGGUUAAGUCCCGCAACGAGCGCAACCCUCGUUCUAUGUUGCCAGCGGGUUAUGCCGGGGACUCAUAGGAGACUGCCGGGGUCAACUCGGAGGAAGGUGGGGAUGACGUCAAAUCAUCAUGCCCCUUAUGUCUUGGGCUUCACGCAUGCUACAAUGGCCGGUACAAAGGGCUGCGAUACCGUAAGGUGGAGCGAAUCCCAAAAAGCCGGUCUCAGUUCGGAUUGAGGUCUGCAACUCGACCUCAUGAAGUCGGAGUCGCUAGUAAUCGCAGAUCAGCAACGCUGCGGUGAAUACGUUCCCGGGCCUUGUACACACCGCCCGUCAAGUCAUGAAAGU